rnacentral:rRNA from 1 species
AGAGACAUAAGAGUACACGGUGGAUGCCUUGGCCUAGGACGGCUAUGAAGGACGCGACUAACCUGCGAAAAGCUUCGGGGAGGCGGUUUGUAGCCUUUGAUCCGGAGAUGUCCGAAUGGGGAAACCCUGCAGUGUUGAACUGCAAUCUGCGAGGUAACGCUUGCAUGAGGCGAACCCUGGGAAGUGAAACAUCUCAGUACCAGGAGGAAAAGAAAUAAAAUUAUAUUCUCUUAGUAGCGGCGAGCGAAAAGGGAAAAGCCCAAACCGACACUGGAGUCUAGAGGCUAGAAGCUAGAAACUGGAAAUUUCCAGAUUCCAGCAUCCAGUUUCCAGUCUCCAGUGUGGGGGUUGUAAGAUGCGAACAUUCCGAUUUAUCGGUGAAGAGUUAUCAAUCGUCUAUAUAGCAGAAACUGCUGGGAAGCAGUGCCCCAGAGGGUAAUGGCCCCGUAUGCGAAAUGUAUGACGACUCUUGUUUGUAUUCUUGAGUAGCUCCAGACACGAAUAGCUGGAGUGAAUCUGCCGGAACUAACCGGUAAGGCUAAAUACGUCCUAUGACCGAUAGUGAACUAGUACCGUGAGGGAAAGGUGAAAAGAACCCCGAGAGGGGAGUGAAAUAGACCUGAAACCGUGUACUUACAAGGGGUCAGCGCGGAGGCUGGACACUGGAUGCUGGAAGCUCAUGAAAGAAAUUUCUAGACUCCAGUUUCUAGUUUCCAGUCUCCGUUAUGGCAUGCCUAUUGAAGAAUGAGCCGGCGAGUGUGUAUAUCUUGCGUAGCUAAGCCCUUCCGGGGCGGAGCUUAAGGGAAACCGAGCGUGAAUAGCGCAUGAGUAGGAUAUAUACGACCCGAAGCCAGAUGAGCUUGCCAUGAGCAGGGUGAAGUUUGUCGAAAGACAGAUGGAGGCCCGAACCCGUAGGUCGUACAACGCCUUGGGAUGACUUGUGGUAAGGAGUGAAAAGCUAAUCGAAUCUGGGAAUAGCUGGUUCUCUCCGAAACAGCUUUUGGGCUGGCGUUGCCAUAUCGUGUAUGUGGGGGUAGAGCACUGGAAGGGACCAACAGGGAGAAAUCUCGUGGUUCCUAUCAAACUCCGAAUACCACAUACUCGGGCAGCAGUUAGAAGGUGGGGGCGAAGCUCCAUCGAUCGAGAGGGGAAGAGCCCUGAUCGCCAAUUAAGGCCCCAAAAUCGACGUUCAGUACAUCACAAGGAAGUGAGGACUCAUUGACAGUGAGGAUGUUGGCUUAGAAGCAGCCAUCAUUUAAAGAAAGCGUAACAGCUCACUCAUCGAGAGUCCUUGCGCCGAAGAUG